CGGGAAUAACCACCGUAGGAAACAGAUGACUAAUACCGGAUAACAACAGAUGAUGCCUAUCAACUGUUUAAAAGAUGGUUCUGCUAUCACUCUUGGAUGGACCUGCGGUGCAUUAGCUAGUUGGUAGGGUAACGGCCUACCAAGGCGAUGAUGCAUAGCCGAGUUGAGAGACUGAUCGGCCACAUUGGGACUGAGACACGGCCCAAACUCCUACGGGAGGCAGCAGCC
rnacentral:rRNA from 1 species